rnacentral:rRNA from 1 species
GACGAACGCUGGCGGCGUGCCUAAUACAUGCAAGUAGAACGCUGAAGGAGGAGCUUGCUUCUCUGGAUGAGUUGCGAACGGGUGAGUAACGCGUAGGUAACCUGCCUGGUAGCGGGGGAUAACUAUUGGAAACGAUAGCUAAUACCGCAUAAUAGUAGCUGUUGCAUGACAUUUGCUUAAAAGUUGCAAUUGCAUCACUACCAGAUGGACCUGCGUUGUAUUAGCUAGUUGGUGAGGUAACGGCACACCAAGGCAACGAUACAUAGCCGACCUGAGAGGGGGAUCGGCCGCACUGGGACUGAGACCCGGCCCAGACUCCUACGGGAGGCAGCAGUAGGGCAUCUUCGGCAAUGGGCGGAAGUCUGACCGAGCAACGCCGCGGGAGUGAAGAAGGUUUUCGGAUCGUAAAGCUCUGUUGUAAGAGAAGAACGAGUGUGAGAGUGGAAAGUUCACACUGUGACGGUAACUUACCAGAAAGAGACGGCUAACUACGUG